AGUGAACGCUGGCGGUAGGCCUAACACAUGCAAGUCGAACGGCAGCACAGGAGAGCUUGCUCUCUGGGUGGCGAGUGGUGGACGGGUGAGGAAUACAUCGGAAUCUACUUUUUCGUGGGGGAUAACGUAGGGAAACUUACGCUAAUACCGCAUACGACCUACGGGUGAAAGCAGGGGAUCUUCGGACCUUGCGCGAUUGAAUGAGCCGAUGUCGGAUUAGCUAGUGGGCGGGGUAAAGGCCCACCAAGGCGCCGAUCCGUAGCUGGUCUGAGAGGAUGAUCAGCCACACUGGAACUGAGACACGUUCCAGACUCCUACGGGAGGCAGCAGUGGGGAAUAUUGGACAAUGGGCGCAAGCCUGAUCCAGCCAUACCGCGUGGGUGAAGAAGGCCUUCGGGUUGUAAAGCCCUUUUGUUGGGAAAGAAAUCCAGCUGGUUAAUACCCGGUUGGGAUGACGGUACCCAAAGAAUAAGCACCGGCUAACUUCGUGCCAGCAGCCGCAGUAA
rnacentral:rRNA from 1 species